UACGUGAGGGGGCUAGCGUUGUCCGGAUUUAUUGGGCGUAAAGAGCUCGUAGGCGGUCUGUCGCGUCGGUCGUGAAAACCUGCAGCUUAACUGUGGGCUUGCGGUCGAUACGGGCAUGACUGGAGUUCGGCAGGGGAGACUGGAAUUCCUGGUGUAGCGGUGAAAUGCGCAGAUAUCAGGAGGAACACCGGUGGCGAAGGCGGGUCUCUGGGCCGUAACUGACGCUGAGGAGCGAAAGCAUGGGGAGCGAACAGG
rnacentral:rRNA from 1 species